GGAGGUGUAACUCAUUGGUAGAGCACUUGCCUAGCAUGUGCAAGGCCUGGAUUCAAUCCCUAGCACCACCA
rnacentral:tRNA from 1 species